AAAAGUCGUAACAAGGUUUCCGUAGGUGAACCUGCGGAAGGAUCAUUAACACUUUUUAUUAUUUUGUUUUUUUUCUAAAACAAAAUUUAAAACCCCACAAUUUUGGAUGAAUUUAAUUUAUUUAUUUUUUAUUUUAUUUUUUUUAUUAUAACCCUAUUAUUUGACUAACAUUUUUAAUUAAUUAUUAAAAAUUAAAAAAACAACUCUUAACAACGGAUAUCUUGGCUCUCG
rnacentral:misc_RNA from 1 species